rnacentral:rRNA from 1 species
UCGCUACUACCGAUUGAAUGGUUUAGUGAGCUCCACGGAUUGGUGACCACGGUUGGGCAACCUUCUGAGGUCGCUGAGAGGUGGAUCAAACUUGACUAUUUAGAGGAAGUAA